rnacentral:rRNA from 1 species
UACGUAGGGGGCGAGCGUUGUCCGGAAUUACUGGGCGUAAAGGGCGUGUAGGCGGCUAGGUAAGUCAGGUGUGAAAACUUUGGGCUCAACCGGGAGAUUGCACCUGAAACUGCGUAGCUUGAGGGUAGGAGAGGGAAGUGGAAUUCCUAGUGUAGCGGUGAAAUGCGUAGAUAUUAGGAGGAACACCAGUAGCGAAGGCGGCUCUCUGGACUGUAACUGACGCUGAGGCACGAAAGCGUGGGGAGCAAACAGGAUUAGAUACCCCUGUAGUCCCUGA